AUGUUGCCAAUGGAGUUAAAUGGUCCUCCAUUUGGUCAACCAACACCUUCAACACAAGUGCCCACACAAGAUGACUUUGAUGAUAUAGACAAGCUCACAUUGCUUAGUCUCGAGUUCACUUGGAGUGCCGAAGAUGAUCCAAUUAGGCCGGUGAUACUAGAGGAAAUGAAGAAGAUCAUGAGUGGAAAAGAGCUAGUGGAAGAAGUAAGGAAGAUUGAGAAGAACAUUAACGCUGGCAGCACUAUUUCUUCACAGCUUGAGCUGAGUGUUUCUGGGAUAUCUCUUGAUACAUGUGAGGUUCCAACACCUUCAUAA
rnacentral:rRNA from 1 species